rnacentral:rRNA from 1 species
AAGCAACGCGAAGAACCUUACCAGGCCUUGACAUGCAGAGAACUUUCCAGAGAUGGAUUGGUGCCUUCGGGAACUCUGACACAGGUGCUGCAUGACUGUCGUCAGCUCGUGUCGUGAGAUGUUGGGUUAAGUCCCGUAACGAGCGCAACCCUUGUCCUUAGUUACCAGCACGUUAUGGUGGGCACUCUAAGGAGACUGCCGGUGACAAACCGGAGGAAGGUGGGGAUGACGUCAAGUCAUCAUGGUCCUUACGGCCUGGGCUACACACGUGCUACAAUGGUCGGUACAAAGGGUUGCCAAGCCGCGAGGUGGAGCUAAUCCCAUAAAACCGAUCGUAGUCCGGAUCGCAGUCUGCAACUCGACUGCGUGAAGUCGGAAUCGCUAGUAAUCGUGAAUCAGAAUGUCACGGUGAAUACGUUCCCGGGCCUU